rnacentral:rRNA from 1 species
UACGUAGGGGCCUAGCGUUGUCCGGAAUUAUUGGGCGUAAGGAGCUCGUAGGCGGUUCGGCAAGUCGGAUGUGAAAUCUCCACGCUCAACGUGGAGGGGCCAUUCGAAACUGCCGUGACUCGAGUCCGGUAGGGGAGUGUGGAAUUCCCGGUGUAGCGGUGAAAUGCGCAGAUAUCAGGAGGAACACCAAUGGCGAAGGCAGCACUCUGGGACGUGACUGACGCUGAGACGCGAAAGCGUGGGGAGCAAACAGG